rnacentral:rRNA from 1 species
CCUACGGGUGGCAGCAGUGGGGAAUAUUGGGCAAUGGGCGCAAGCCUGACCCAGCAAUGCCGCGUGAAGGAAGAAGGCUUUCGGGUUGUAAACUUCUUUUACAGGGGAAGAGCAGAAGCCGGUACCCUGAAAACAAGCCACGGCGAACUACGUGCCAGCAGCCGCGGUAAUACGUAGGUGGCACGCGUUGUCCGGAUUUACUGGGUGUAAAGGGCGUGUAGCCGGGAAGGGAAGGCAGAUGUGAAAUCUUGAGGCUCAACCUCCAAAUUGCAGUUGAAACUGGUUUUCUUGAGUACUCGAGAGGCAGACGGGAUUCCUGGUGUAGCGGUGAAAUGCGUAGAUAUAAGGAGGAACACCAGUGGCGAAGGCGGUCUGCUGGACAGCAACUGACGAUGAGGCGCGAAAGCGUGGGGAGCAAACAGGAUUAGAUACCCUGGUAGUC